GGGACACAGAGAGAGGGACAAGGGAGGGAGGGUCUCCUGCACCCAACAGGGCUCAUCUUAGUUUAUCAUUAAGCCUAUCCCAUAAUACAGUCUUCAAAGUAUAGGGACCAUUAAUUACUGUAAAGGUAAGAGACAAAUUACAUAUCUCCCAUCCCUAUGUCCUUGUACGUGUGCAGUAAAUCAUUAAACCCCAGGUUUAGGUUAAUCUAGGCAUAUUCUAGCCCUUCUAUGCUCCUUCAUUUCUCUCUCUGUCUACCUAUCUAUCCAUUAAUCUAAAUAUAUUUAUCAUAUGCUAUAUUGCUCUGGAGAAAAGUCUUCAACCUUAUUUCACCCAUCAUUUCCAAAAUGUUUUAUCCAUACACUCGGCAAGCAUUUGUCAAACCACUAUGUGGCAGACACCGUACUACAUAUGUGGUGGGGGUAGAGGAAUGAACUUGAUAGGUAAGGCCUCUGAACUUCUUCGAUGUUCUAGUUGAAGGACAAGAGAUGACUAAGUGAACAAAGAUAACUCCAGACAGUGACGUAUGCUGUGAAAAAAUAAAAUCACAUGAUGUAUCAAAGAGUGGUAAGGGGCUCAUUGGCUUUAAAAAGACCACUACAAGAAAGUAAAUCUUGAUUGAAAGCUGAAUGGUAAGAGCUGGCCACGUGAAGAUCUGGGAGAGAAAACUCCAGCCAAAGGGAACAGCUGGUGCAAAGACUGGGGGGCUGGAAAGAGUUUGAGUGGUUAAGUCUUUCUUCACAACAACCUGUUAGCAUUCAGCAGAAGAGUGAAUCAGGGAACCACUGAUUUAGGAAUUAUGGUUGAGGUGCCAAAAGUACUGGCUUGAUUUGAAGUUAGGAAUUAUGGAUGGGUAUGGUGAUUUAGGAAACUAAAGGAAUUACUCAAAUACUCAUAAGCACAUUCAUCUGGAAAUGAUAAUAAUUCCCUUUCAAGUAGUGAAAUGCAACAUAUUAGGUCUAGAAAUCCCAGGAAUGAUUUGGAAUAGCAAACUGAAAUAAGAUUUUUCUAGAAUUGCGUUCCUAAUCAUAGACAGCCAUCAGCUAUGUUUGUUUUGGAAAUGGAAAUAAAGCAAAUAUCUGAUUGCCAUAGAAGUCCUAUGGAAGGGAACCAAAAGGGAAGGAUCCUUCUUGGAAAUAAAUCUACCUGGGAAAAUUGGGGAAGGAAUGGGCACUGAAGAUAGAAUCAGGGGAGAAGAGGAGGUGGAAAACCAGAAGAUAUAAGCAGAGACAUAUCUUUUCAAACAACCAUGUCAAUUGGAAAGGCGACAUCACUGAAAGCAGCCCUGGUUGGGAGCAUCUGUGAAGUUGGUGGCAUCAACUAUUUGGCAUGUCCCGGGACUCUACAGUGCAUGAAAUGAACAGCCACUGCUCAAGGCAAGUCACCUGGAAACCACUUGGGCUUACAACAAUUCACAGUGCAGAGAGCAAUCUCAGGGGAAUCUAAAAGCAAACGAAUCGUGUGGAGACCUUCCGCAAGAAGAGGGUACAGUUUAGGAACAGGCAGAGCCGAGUUGAAGAACUCACACAGUGCAAACAGGAUGAAAUGAAGACAAGUGAACAAGUUAAUAAGGAGGGCUGUGUUUUGUGUUUUAGUAAGAAAUGGAGUAUCAUACCAUUACCAUAGAUUAUCGAAUUUCAGAAAUGUAACUUGAAAGAGGUGCUAAAUUGGAUAGAAGUGCAAAAAAUAACCACACUGCUGGGGACGCUUUGAUCUUGAGGAAAAAAAAAAAACAAACCAUGCUCAAUCAAAUAAUUUAUGGAAUGGUGUGUUCCAAUUAAAUCCAUUUCCUGAUUAGAUCAGAUUUUAAAAAUAUAGUUGUCAAUCUUUCUUAAAGAUAUCAGCUAAGAUCAGUGGAACAGAACAGACAGUCCUGAAGCAGAUCUGCGUGUGUGUCCAAAAUAAUUGAGUACAUUAUAUGUUUAAAAAAGGUUCACAACACCAACAUCCUAUGUGCAUUAUGAAAUAUCCAUACCAACAGAAAUUCAAAAUGAGAUAAACCUAAGUUUUCUAUUUGCCCCAACAGCCUCAAGGAAUGCCUUGUACCCGCUUUGGAGACUUCUAUGCUCUCUACUCACACUGUCCACAGCUGAACUGCAACCAUGACCUCAAGGAGGGCAGGGCCCAUGACUGCCUUGCUCAUUCUCUAAUCCCUAAUACCUCAGACUACUUAACCAUCUCCCUUGAGCCCUUUCCUUCCUAGUGUGCUGACACUAGAUGUAGGCAUCUAGUAGCAUCUAGUAAAUCAUCAAAUUCUAUGACCUCUAGGGGGCACUGAAGAGAACUUCUCCACUCAGCAACAGAAUGACAAGCACUGGGGUGUAAAAUCAGUCCCUUUGCCUUAGGCUACUGCUCAAAGUGGAGAAUUUUUAUACCAUCUAGGAAAUGCAAUCCAUCAAACCAUUGAAAAGAGGAAUUUGAGGUAUUUCCCCACUACCCAAGGCCGCUGGAAGAAUUUUUAAAGUUGAAGAGUAAAUACGGGAACACUGUAACCUUUCAGAAGUACAACUGUUUAAAAAGAGCAUACUGGCAAGCUGCUCAAAUAUUCUAAAACAAUGAGCAGCUUGACAUUUUUCAAACAAAUAUUUUAAAACUCAGGUCCACAUGUGCACUGGAAAUUAAUGCCAUUUGUUCAACAAUAAUAGACUUGAUUCAUAUCCACUCUUGUAUGUUGGAUUAUAUUUGCUGAUUUCAUUAAACCUUCAAAAGGUUACAGCUGGUUGACAUAUGAAAAACUUCACACUUCUAGAAGAGGGAAUUUUGUAUUGGUCCUUUUUUUUUUUUUUUUUUUUUUUUUUUUUUUUUUUUUUUUAACAUAACCACUCCUCGGAGAGAAAUGAUAAAGCGUAAGACUCUGUUCCUCACUAUCACUGAUUAUAUAUUCAAGCGUCUUCAUCUACGGGGAUAAAGGAAAACAAAGAAACAGAAACAAGUGGUCAAACUGGAGAGCGAGAACCAGGCAGGAAUAAGGCUGCCAGAGAAGCGAGAAGAUGAAGGAAGCCGGCUGCCAUGCGGAUGUGUGAUUGGGCCCUUUUUGCUCCGCGGAGCCCCUGCCUGGAACGCCCUCUUCACCUGGCUUUCCCGUCUAAAGCCAGGCUGACCUCCCUCCUGCACCCAGGGCGAGGCUCUUCUCCUCCGCGGAGGCGGAGCCUCCUGCACCACCGCCACCCACCACGUCGGCUGAUCCUCUCUCUUUUGUUCUGUGUUCCUCUUUUGCUUUGUGUUCCUAUCACUUAAAAGUUACCCGAGUGAUGGAUGGGCCUCUCUGCAGCAAUGGCUGAUCCCAGAGGAUGCCAGAGAGGACAUGCCCCAAGGCAUGCUCCCCACUGAUGGAAAUGGGGUGACGACUUGGGUCCCCGGGCUCCACAUCCAGAGCUCCGACUUUGCACAUCCACCAACCACACCUCUAGCUUCCGUCUCCUCUGCUCUGGUUAUCUUGUUACUGAAGGUUUAUUUCAACCCCCUGCCCCCGCGGCUUCUUCCCCAAUGCCUCCUGUGUACAAGGCAUUGCUUGCAGCAUCUUCCUGCAAUCGUCACCAGCAUCCCGGAGGUAAGAUCGCCAGUCGCAUUUCACAGAGGAGGCCCAGCAAGGCUGCGUGACUUGAGACCACAGAGCCAAGAACAGAAAGGGCUAGAAUUUUUCCCUUCUCUAUCAUCACCACCACCACCACACCGUUGUCACCGGUGCUUGGCAAAGAGCAGCCAUCUAUAGAUAUUACCUUCAAUUCUCCCCACUUCCGAGAUCUGGAUGCGAGUCUCAUCUUACAGGUGAAGUCACUUCCUCCAGGAAGCCACGGCUGACCCCCACACCCUAGACAAGGCACCUCCUUUCACUGCAAUCAGACAUUCAUCAUGACAACAAGGAUAUACCGCCUAUCUUUAAGAAUCAAGCUGUCUCCUAGAUGCUGGCAAGAGAAUGGUGAACAAACAUAAACCGGUAUUAUCACAAAUGAACUCUCUUACCUGGAAGAACACAUCAAGCCAUUUGGACUCACUGGAGUCAAAGCACAGAAUGUUACUUUAUCAGAUAAACUAAUGGGUUUUUUAAAAGCAGGACCAAAGGGGAACUGGACCAAGACAGUACAGCUGGCCCUCUGUAUCUGUGAGUGACUUGUUUUUUUUUCUAUUUUUUUUGUGUGUGUGUGAUUUUCUAGUCUGUUUGGAAUUUUUUUUCCUGAUUAAAAAUAAUUUUUUCGGAGUUCCCUUUGUGGCUCAGCUGUUAACGAACCCGAGUAGGCCAGCGACUACAGCUACAAUUUGACCCCUAGUCUGCUGGGAACCUCCAUAUGCUGCAGGUGUGGCCCUAAAAUAGCAAAAUAAUAAUAAUAAUAAUUUUUAAAAAAGAGACAUUGAGAAAAGUUAGGGAUUGCUCCAUAGAAAAUCCAUAAUAAAAAAUCCUCAAGUUUCCUCUCUGAGGAAAUUAUUGAUUGGCCAGAUGGAAAGAGUCCAUGGAGAGCCAUAACUAUCACCAUGACAAGGGGAUGAAACUAGCACCAGGAAGAUCCUGGUCUUCUAAGCCAAGGUCCAAAACCUUUCCCUACAGCCUGGUACCUCCUCUCCUCUCAGCCCUACCCAGUGAGGCACCUUCUAGUUGGAGCAGUGUUGCUCGUAGAACUCUUUUUGGAGUUGGAAGACACAGGGGGCAUGGGGUCAGAGGGGACGGGAAAGCAGUUGUCCUGAAGUUUACUCCCAGGGCUCAAGGAUGCAAAGCUAUGGGAUAGUCGUAGGUGCUUAAAGGAGAUGACCCCAGUCCACCUCCCAUGCGUGCUGCCCUGCCGUGUCUGUUUCUUCUCUGAAGUCCCAGCAUCACCCAGUAGAGGCAGUCGCAACUUGGUAAAUAAGACAGGAGCAAAAGAAAGAGUGGGACUUCAAUAAAAAAUUUACAAAUAAACAAUGGCAUUGUGUGAACUCCAUGGCAAUUUCUCCAGAGCUACGGUAAAGCUAUAGGACCAGAACUUUGUUUUUGCCAAAACUUCUUUAGAUAAGCAGGAGGGGUACUCACCCUUUGAGGCACCACAGAAAAGAUGAAGAGAAGUAAAAAGAAAGGAAGCUGGCAAUGUGGUUGUUUUACCUAUUUCGUGUUUGAACUUGGCAUGGCUCUAAGGCAAAAAGGUCAGAACCAGCAUCACUGAAUGUUGGCGAACAGCCUUGAAUCCCUGGAAUACUCCUUAAGUGAAUGCCUGUCACCUCCUAGCCAACAACAUGAUCUUUGCUUCAA